rnacentral:lncRNA from 10 species
CCGACCACGUGCACGGCAUCUUGGGGCACGGGUUCCCGCCGUCUCCCCACUGUAAAGGAGCGGCUUACUCCAGAGGUCCAGCCCCCUCACACACAAUCACGGAACCCGUGGAUGAGGCAGUAUUUGAGACCAGAAGUUUAUUGGGGACUUGGGUUUGGUUUUUGUUUGGUUGGUUUUGUCGUUGUUUUUAGAGUCGGGGGUUUCGCUGUGUUGCCCAGGCUGCUAUCGGACUCCUGACCUCAAGCGAUCCUCUUGCUUGGCCUCCCAAAGUGUUGGGAUUACAGGCGUGAGCCACCGCACCUGGCCGGGGACUUGUUUCUAAUGGAAAAUUGUGGCUCACUCCCAUCGCCAUCCUUCGUAAUUUCAAAGGGUCUACGGUUAAAAAUAUUCCAAAUUGUUGGGAAACUCUCAGACCCCAGAACUUAGCUGGCUGCAUGCUCGGCCAGCCCUCAGAGACAGCAUGAUUGGAGGCAGGAGCAGGAAUUGGCAACCUGAGAAGUAGAUACCACCCAGGCACCCUCAUUCACAAGGAUCCAG